rnacentral:lncRNA from 1 species
GGGGGAAGCGCUGGCUCAGCAGAAGUGUUAUAGCUGUCAUUGAUUUACGGAGACAUCAAAAAGAAAUGAAGGGAGACCAAGGACUGAAAACAGCAGUCAUUUCAAUUUUGCUCUAGACACUGUUUCUCUCAAGCUGGAUUUGAAGAAGGAAUCAGCCAUUUUGGGAGGUCCAUGUGACGAGAAGCUGGUGGAAGCUACUAGGAAGUUCUAGGAGGGCAGCUUCCAGUAGACAACCUGUAUGAGGCCAGGGCAUUAGUUCCUAUCGCAAGAAAAUGAAUUCCAUCAACAUGUGUGUAGUCUG